AGUGAACGCUGGCGGUAGGCCUAACACAUGCGAGUCGAACGGCAGCACAGUAAGCGCUUGCUCUUACGGGUGGCGAGUGGCGGACGGGUGAGGAAUACAUCGGAAUCUACUUUUUCUUGGGGGAUAACGUAGGGACACUUACGCUAAUACCGCAUACGACCUACGGGUGAAAGCAGGGGAUCUUCGGACCUUGCGCGAUUGAAUGAGCCGAUGUCGGAUUAGCUAGUUGGCGGGGUAAAGGCCCACCAAGGCGACGAUCCGUAGCUGGUCUGAGAGGAUGAUCAGCCACACUGGAACUGAGACACGGUCCAGACUCCUACGGGAGGCAGCAGUGGGGAAUAUUGGACAAUGGGCGCAAGCCUGAUCCAGCCAUACCGCGUGGGUGAAGAAGGCCUUCGGGUUGUAAAGCCCUUUUGUUGGGAAAGAAAAGCAGCAGGUUAAUACCCCGCUGUUCUGACGGUACCCAAAGAAUAAGCACCGGCUAACUUCGUG
rnacentral:rRNA from 1 species